GAAUCUUGCGCAAUGGGCGAAAGCCUGACGCAGCGACGCCGCGUGGGGGAUGAAGCCCUUCGGGGUGUAAACCCCUUUCGACCCGGACGAAUGGCUCCGCAAGGAGACGUGACGGUACGGGGACAAGCAGCCCCGGCUAACGACGUCCCAGCAGCCGCGGUAGGACGUAGGGGGCCAGCGUUGCUCGGAAUAACUGGGCGUAAAGGGUCCGUAGGCGGUGCAGCAAGUCGGGAGUGAAAUCUCUGGGCUUAACUCAGAGACUGCUUCCGAAACUGCUGUGCUCGAGUGCGAGAGAGGCGAGUGGAAUUGCAGGUGUAGCGGUGAAAUGCGUAGAUAUCUGCAGGAACACCAGAGGCGAAAGCGGCUCGCUGGAUCGCAACUGACGCUGAGGGACGAAAGCUAGGGGAGCAAACAGG
rnacentral:rRNA from 1 species